AGGAAUAUGGUGAAAUUGGUAAACACGUCGGACUUAAAAUCCGUUGUCGAUCUGACUUAAGGGUUCAAGUCCCUUUAUUCCUA
rnacentral:tRNA from 1 species